UACGUAGGGUGCGAGCGUUGUCCGGAAUUAUUGGGCGUAAAGAGCUCGUAGGCGGUGUGUCACGUCGGCCGUGAAAACCUGCAGCUUAACUGUGGGCGUGCGGUCGAUACGGGCAUCACUGGAGUUCGGCAGGGGAGACUGGAAUUCCUGGUGUAGCGGUGAAAUGCGCAGAUAUCAGGAGGAACACCGGUGGCGAAGGCGGCAUCCUGGACUACUACUGACGCUGAGUGAGCGAAAGCCAGGGGAGCAAACAGG
rnacentral:rRNA from 1 species